AGCCUCUGAGGUGGCUAGAUGUCACCAGAUAAGCUACCUGCCCCAACUUUCAGCCUCCUCCUCGCUGCCUGAGGUGUCACAUGUCUGUCACUUGGGCUAGUUGCUAAAGACGUCGAGGAGCAGGAAUGAUUUGGCUGGAAAUAGCAGCGUCACAUGAGCGGCGACCAGUGAGCCAGCUGCUCAUCCUUAAAUGGAGCCCAUGCCCUGUCAAAUUUUGACCCAGACUAUUACUGACAUGGCAGCAUGAACCAAAGCAAACGGACUGCUCGCAACACAACAAUACAAAACAACGACACAAGAGUGUCACGUAAAAAAAUGGACAGGGUGAGGUGGGACGACCGGAGAGACAGACUGUUCUGUUACUGCGACUGUGACACUGCCAGACAUGAGCAACAAGAACCCGCCAGCAUCGUGCAGAAUUGUCAUGGAAACCAAAAAAGAACCUCACUGCCUUUUUUCCCCAUAAAUCUUGUUUUCUUUCCCGUUUUGAAUGAUGAGAUGAAGCUUACCUAUUGUUACACUUGUAGUAAUAUCAUUAGAACCAAACAGCAGGUAUCUACUGGUAUAAACCACAAACAAACUUCCACAACUGAAGGGGUGAAGUCAACCUCUAGACAUUACAACCCAUUCAUUCAUUUUCAAUUCUGCUUAGCUGCAGAAGCAAACACAUAGCUUUGAAUGCUAACACAAAGCACUAUUGAAGUCCAAACCUAAAAUACUCCACACGCUUAUUAGACAAUAUAAUAAAGUCUUAGACAGACUACAAAAACAUGAUGAUGCAAUUUAAAGCUUGAAUGUGACCGGUAUGUGAUGUGCAUUUCACUAUCCGACCUGAGCGUAUCCGUCUCACAAACAGAGCAAAAGUCUUGUGCAGGUCUGACAGGAUGAGCGAGACUUGCCAGGGAAAGUAAUUGAUAAGAGACAAACACCUCCUAAUACAGAAGUUGAAAUGUCUUGGCCGGUGUUCACUCUUGUUGGUCUUGUUUAAUUUGGUGGUGCAACUGCUCUGCUGGUGUGUUUUUUUUGGCCUCGAUGAACGAAUCACGGAUAAAAUAUAUAGAAAUUAGACUUUCAGCAUCUUCUGGAAUAAAGUAUUAUUGUAUUGACUCAAACAUAGUGGAAACUUUGUUAGCGUCAUUGAUCCGUUCCACAACGUCCGGCUCAAACCAAAAAGUACUCUAGCGGAAUCAUUUUUCCCCAUAAGAAACAAUGAAAAUCCAAAACAAAACAAAGAACAAAAGACAUUUUUUAUAGUUUUCAGUUAUAGCUUUACAUGCUGAAAACAAUUUGAAAUACAUAUAGGGAUAAGGCACAGACCCGAUCCAUGUUUUGUAUAUGUAUGAGUGUGUUUACAUCAUGUUGUGUUUGCUGCUUGUUAAUAAAGUGAUUGGAAUUA